UGAAACAUAUAUAAUCUGAUUAAAUAUGUUGUUAUGGUCAAAACACGAGUAUGUUAUACCCAUGGCUGUAAAUCAAGGAUUGGAAUGAGAUGCAGCUGCAAAUCCCUUAAUUUAUUGAAGGGUAAGUGAGAAUACAAGAAUUAAUGUCAAUCAUGGAUUUGUAGAUUCAUCAUGAUGAAAUGCUAAUUGUUGUCUUUUUUCACCAAAUUGUAAUAUGACUUGAUUGUUGCACAAUUGGCUAGGUGACAUGUUACUUCUAUUUUUAUUUAUAUUUUGGCAGUGUUUCCGUCGUCCAUCGUGUGCGAGAAAAGGGACCCGGCUAUGGGAUGAAGGGGUAAACUAG
rnacentral:lncRNA from 1 species